rnacentral:lncRNA from 1 species
GUCACUUGAAUCUGCUGAGCGUUAAAAUUAACAUACUUUUGAAGCUUAUGUAUAUAGAAAUUUUUUGACAAAGUGUACUUUAUUAUUCUAUCUCCUUUUAUGAAUCUUUGCUUAAGUUGUGCUAUGCAUGUUGCAUUAUUAUGGGUACUUUGUCACACUUCAUGUAGACACCUAAAUUUAAUCUCUCCCGAAGACUCAAUCUAUCCAUUUGUUUACCUUCAUCUUACCACGUAUCCUACCCCAUAUAAUUAUCCCUCCACAAAAUGACAAAAUAAUAAAUCCAACAACCCUUCACAAAUUUUAUCUUCUUUAAUAACCAAUUAACAACCCUAUCCAAUAAGAAAACCACCUAACACCCUACUACCCCACCUCCUACAGGACCCCCUCCCCUUUCUUUUCCCAAAAUCAAAUGAAUAAGUAUACACAUAGUGAAUCUUCCAAGAAAUUUCCAGAUGCACACCUUACUUGGACCCCACCAUUUUUGUUGUCAUUUUGUCAUACGCACAUAGACACCUUACUGUAUAUAAAUAGAAAUAAGGACAACAACAAUGAGAGAUUUUCUUUUGGAUCAUCAUCCUUUUGAGCAAAGAAAGGAUGCCAUUUUCUCUUCUUCUUGGAUAAAAUAGCGUGAUUUUUUUUCUGGACAGCAUAUAAAAAAUGGCACGCACACAUACACACAUAGAAUAAAGGGAGAUUAAGAGAGACAGAAAUCGAGAGAAGGAGGGAGAGAGAAUCGAAAAAAAAGGGGGAGGGUUACAGCUCCGGCGAGUUUCGCCUGAGAGCCGUCGGAGUUCGAUCCCGUUCGUUGGAUAUUGUUGCUGCCUGAGUUCUCCGGAUCGCCAUUGACACUACAAUAACAAAUCCGCUCCAAUCUGAACAAACCCAAAUGGAGCAGUAAUUGGGUGCACGAAUUGGUACGGGUCUCUCGUUGUUUCUAGAUUUUUGUUUUAGGUUGACGAAAACAGAGUGCGGGGUGAGAUUCGGGAAUCUGAUUUUGAUAUUCGAGGUCGAGAUCUGAUUUGGAGUUCGUGUUGAGGUUCCGAUGCGGAUUUCAUUUCGUUUAAUUGAAUAACAUUUGAAAGCGGCAUUGAGGUUCAAUUCUUUCUUCUCUUCCUCUUAAUUCUUAUGUGAUUAUGAACUUGAUUUGAUUGCGUGAAUCAUUGGUGAUUAUGAUUGUUGGAUUUUGUUGAUGUUGUGAUCAUGUGCUUGACAAUGUAAUUUCGGCGAUAUGUGGUGCGAAUUUGAGUAUUGUUGAUGGUGUGAUUGAUAAAAAUGAAGCUAGAUGGGGUGAAAUUAACAAAUUGACAAAAUGGGUGAAUAUAGAUCAAUUUUGAUUUAUUGCCAUUUGGUUUAAUUCAGAAUAAGCAUGAAUGUGGUUGAAUCCGAUAGUGCCAUGUUGUAGGUCGAGAAGGAAUAGGCAAGCUGUUGUAGGUCGAGAAGGAAUAGGCAAGCCGUAGGUCGGGUAGGCAAAUCUAGAGAUUGUGGAUUGAUUGAAUGUUUGAGAUGUGUAUUGAGAUGAUUUUGUUUUAUCUUUAUUUGACUCAAUUGUACUCAUUUGGCCAGAGAAUGCCUCGAAGUAUCUGUAUUGUUUUAUUCGGGGAAUGCCUCGAGAAAGUUGUACUUGAAGAUGGUGCACGGUCAAGGUCCGAGGCGUCGGGUAAAGCAACGGAGUUUAGCCUAGGACUAGUUUAGAAUACGAUUUUUAUUUUUGCGUUUUCCUAUUUUGGUUUGUAAUAAUCGGAUUGGACAUUUUGAUUUUGGAUUUGUUUUUUGUUGUUGAUUUGAUUGAUUGUUUUGUGUGUUUUAUGUGGCUUAUACAUUUGUAGUGUUAAAAUUAGCUGAUACUCUCCGCCAAGCGAUCGUGGUCAAACCACGGGAUCGAGGGGUGCCUAACACUUUCUCCUCGGUCAACAGAAUUCCUUAGCCGAAAUCUCUGUU